ACUAAAACAGAAACGUAUAGAGGAGGAGGAGUCUUCUCACAACGGCUUUGAAGCCGUGUGGGUGUGGGGUAUAAAAUAUGUCUGAACCUUCUCAUAUACAAGAACUCUGCUUCUCUCUGCUCAUGCUUUCGGUGACAUUUUUAAACCCUUUUUUUCCCCCUCAACUCUUUAUGUAAUUUGCUUAAGUGAGAUUGUUGUGACCCCAUUCUAUCAUUGUAUUGUAUCAUCAUCAUCAUCAUCAUCAUCAUCUUAUAACAAUGUAAUCAGCAAAAGAGACCAAGCAAUCAUUUUACGCUUUUCUUCCAAGCACAACUUUUUCAGCUUCAGGUUUCUGGUUUCCUUAGCAAAAUUGUAUGGACACCAAUUAAUGAAGAAAGUUCCAAGGGAAGAGGAAACUGAAGAUAAGGAUAUUCAUUUUUCAGAAUUGCUUUUCUACAUGAUCAUGAACCCUCUUGGGCUCAAUUUGAUUAGAAGCAGACAUGAUUGGAGCAUCCCAUCCGGCACCAAAGGCCAAACUCUGAGGAGGAUAGAUCAAAGGAUCAGAUGAACCAGCAGCAGCAGCAGGUGCAAUUGCAAUCCCAUUAAACUGUUGUUGCACUUGGUGGUGUUGACUGUUGAACACAUCUUCCUUGAUCAGUGAAUUCAAGAAUGAAGAGAACACAUCGUCGG